CUUGUCAUGUUACCAAUUACCCAAAAAAAUAAUAAUAUUUUAGACCCAAAAGAUGAGAGAAAAGAAAAUUGUGAAGAAAAAUUGACACAUAAAGUAUUUUUUUUUUUUUUUUUUUUUUUUUUUUGGGUUUGAGAAAGACGUUGAAAGCAAAAUAAAGCCAAAUGAUAUUUAUAAACAUGAGAGAUGGCUCAAAGUUAUUUUGUUGUUUGGGGUUCAAGGGGGCAUGUAUCUUUGACUCCUUCCAACCAACCAUUUUUUAUUUUACCAUUAUGCUUUUGGGCCAUUAGGUGUUUUUUAAAC
rnacentral:lncRNA from 1 species